rnacentral:lncRNA from 1 species
AAAAUAGCGAGCAUAAUUCAAUUCAAUUCAAUUUCUCAAUGUGUUUAUUUUCUAGUCAUCUUGUACACAAUUAAUGUCAAUUUUAACCAAAUUGAUAUUAAUUUUAUUUUUGACCCCUUUUCAAAGUAAUUUUAAUAUCAGCCGUUGAUUAAAAUUAAUCCAAUGACUGAAAUCCCAUCACCCUUUUAUUUCCUUUUAAACAAAAUAUCAAACCCUAAUCCCUUACCAAAAAAUCAGCCGCUACUCCUCUCUUUUCUCUCUUCCCUCUCUCUACCUUCUCUCUCUAAACCAACAAAAAACCACUGCCCCCGUCGGCCGCCAACCAGCCGGUGAACUUGCUCCACCGGCGCUGGCGAACCUGCUCUACCAGACACCAAUUGCCGCUCUAGCCGGCUAGCCGGAGAAAUCUUCCGAUGAAGAAAGUUGCGAUGCCAACAACCGCCCGCCACCACUGCUACUACCGACCAAAUGUCACUAAGAAAAGUUGGAGUUCUUGACGGAUUCUCCGAAUCCGUCCCAGGUUUGUUUCUCUGUAUAAAUUAAAUUUCAAUUUCAAAUGGUUUACUGGAUACAUGUGUUCAAAGUCCAAAUGAUAUACAUCUACAGGAUUGAUAGCUAAGUUUAAAUAUCUAAUGUUUAAAAAUUAAUUAUUUUUUUUUAAUAUUUGUUCAUAAAAUUAAUAGAUUUUAGAAGUUAAAAGAAUUGAUUAUAUUGAGAAGAAUAAAUUAGUGGAAGAUACAUACUUAUAAUUUUUAAAGGUAGAAACGUGACAAUUACAGGAUUUGACUCCAUCCAUUAGAGUAAUGCAUUCUAGUUACUCAAAUAUACAUUUAUUGUUGAUGCUUGAAAUGUGAAUUCAUGACUUAAAGCGUAAUCACUUGAAAUGUGAAUUCAUGACUUGAAAUUGGUUUAUUGUUGAUGCUUGAAAUGUGAAUUCAUGACUUGAAAAUGGUUAAGUUUAGUCAUUUGAGAAGUGAAUUAGAGAGUUGAAAAUGGUUAAGUGUAGAAUUUUGAAAUGUGUACUAGUCACUUGAAAAGUGGAUUAGAGAAUUGAAAAUGGUUUAAUGUAGUUCAUGAAAGGUGAACUUGUGUCCUGGAAUUUGUGAAGCGUAAUCACUUGAAAUGUGAAUUCAUGACUUGAAAUUGGUUUAGUGUUGACAGUUGAAAUGUGAAUUCAUGACUUGAAAAUGGUUACGUUUAAUCAUUUGAGAAGUGAACUAGAGAGUUGAAAAUAGUUAAGUGUAGUGUUUUGAAAUGUGUACUAGUCACUUGAAAAGUGGAUUAGCGACUUGAAAAUGGUUUAGCGUAGUUCUUGAAAGGUGAACUUGUAUUUUAAAAUUUGUAAAGUGUAAUCACUUGGAAAUGAGAAUUCAUGACUUGAAAUUAGUUUAGUGUUGAUACUUGAAAUGUGAAUUCAUGACUUAAAAAUGUUUAAGUUUAGUCAUUUGAGAAGUGAAUUAGAAAGUUGAAAAUGGUUAAGCGUAGUGUUUAAAAAUGUGUACUAGUCACUUGAAAAGUGGAUUAGCAUAGUUCUUGAAAGGUGAACUUGUGUUUUGAAAUUUGUAAAGUGUAAUCACUUGAAAAUAAGAAUUCAUGACUUGAAAUUGGUUUAGUGUUGAUGCUUGAAAUGUGAAUUCCUAACUUGAAAAUGGUUCAAUUUAGUCAUUUGUGAAGUGAAUUAGAGAGUUAAAAAUGGUUAAGUAUAGUGUUUUGAAAUGUGUGCUAGUCACUUGAAAAGUGGAUUAGAGACUUGAAAAUGGUUUAAUGUAGUUAUUGAAAGGUGAACGUGUAUUUUGAAAUUUGUAAUGGGUAAUCAAUUGAAAAUGUGAAUUUAUGACUUGAAAUUGGUUUAGUGUUGAUACUUGAAAUGUGAAUUCAUGACUUGAAAAUGGUUAAGUUUAUUCAUUUGAAAAGUGAACUAGAGAGUUGAAAAUGGUUAAGUGUAGUGUUUUGAAAUGUGUACUAGUCACUUGAAAAGUGGGUUAGCGACUUGAAAAUGGUUUAGCAUAGUUCUUGAAAGGUGAACUUGUGUUUUGAAACUUGUAAAGUGUAAUCCCUUGAAAAUGUGAAUUCAUGACUUGAAAUUGGUUUAGUGUUGAUGCUUGAAAUGUCAAUUAAUGACUUGAAAAUGGUUAAGUUUAGUCAUUUGAGAAGUGAACUAGAGAGUUGAAAAUGGUUUAGUGUAGUGUUUUAAAAUGUGUACUAGUCACUUGAAAAGUGGAUUGGCAACUUGAAAAUGGUUUAGCGUAGUUUUUAAAAGGUGAACUUGUGUUUUGAAACUUGUAAAGUGUAAUCACUUGAAAAUGUGACUUCAUGACUUAAAAUUGGGUUAUUGUUGAUGCUUGAAAUGUGAAUUCUUGACUUGAAAAUGGUUAAGUUUAGUCAUUUGCGAAGUGAACUAGAGAGUUAAAAAUGGUUAAGUGUAGUGUUUUAAAAUGUGUACUAGUCACUUGAAAAGUGGAUUAGCGACUUGAAAAUGGUUCAUCGUAAUUCUUGAAAGGUGAACUUGUGUUUUAAAAUUUGUAAAGUAUAAUCACUUGGAAAUAAGAAUUCAUGACUUGAAAUUAGUUUAGUGUUGAUACUUGAAAUGUGAAUUCAUGACUUAAAAAUGGUUAAGUUUAGUCAUUUGAAAAGUGUACUAGAGAGUUGAAAAUGGUUAAGUGUAGUAUUUUGAAAUGUGUACUAGUCACUUGAAAAGUGGAUUAGCGACUUGAAAGUGGUUUAGCAUAGUUCUUGAAAGGUGAACUUGUGUUUUGAAACUUGUAAAGUGUAAUCCCUUGAAAAUGUGAAUUCAUGACUUGAAAUUGGUUUAGUGUUGAUGCUUGAAAUGUGAAUUAAUGACUUGAAAAUGGUUAAGUUUAGUCAUUUGAGAAGUGACUAGAGAGUUGAAAAUGGUUAAGUGUAGUGUUUUGAAAUGUGUACUAGUCACUUGAAAAGUGGAUUGGCAACUUGAAAAUGGUUUAGCGUAGUUCUUUAAAGGGGAACUUGUGUUUUGAAACUUGUAAAGUGUAAUCACUUGAAAAUGUGACUUCAUGACUUUAAAUUGGGUUAUUGUGGAUGCUUGAAAUGUGAAUUCAUGACUUGAAAAUGGUUAAGUUUAGUCAUUUGAGAAGUGAACUAGCGAGUUGAAAAUGGUUAAGUGUAGUGUUUUGAAAUGUGUACUAGUCACUUGAAAAGUGGAUUAGCGACUUGAAAAUGGUUUACUGUAGUUCUUGAAAGGUGAACUUGUGUUUUAGAAUUUGUAAAGUGUAAUCACUUGAAAAUGAGAAUUCAUGACUUGAAAUUAGUUUAGUGUUGAUACUUGAAAUGUGAAUUCAUGACUUAAAAAUGGUUUAGUCAUUUGAUAAGUGAAUUAGAGAGUUGAAAAUAGUUAAAUGUAGUGUUUUGAAAUGUGUACUUGUCACUUCAAAAAUGGACUAGAGACUUGAAAAUGGUUUAAUGUAGUUAUUGAAAGGUGAACUUUUGUUUUGAAAUUUUUAAUGUGUAAUCAAUUGAAAAUAUGAAUUCAUGACUUGAAAUUGGUUUAGUGUUGAUGCUUGAAAUGUGAAUUCAUGACUUGAAAAUGGUUAAGUUUAGUCAUUUGAGAAAUGAAUUAGAGAUUUGAAAAUUGUUAAGUGUAGUGUUUUGAAAAGUGUACUAGUCACUUGAAAAGUGGAUUAGAGACUUGAACAUGGUUUAAUGUAAUGCUUGAAAGGUGAACUGGUGUUUUGAAAUUUAUAAUGUAUAAUCACUUGAAAAUGUGAAUUUAUGACUUGAAAUUGGUUUAGUGUUGAUACUUGAAAUGUGAAUUCAUGACUUGAAAAUGGUUAAGUUUAUUCAUUUGAAAAGUGAACUUUAGAGUUGAAAAUGGUUAAGUGUAGUGUUUUGAAAUGUGUACUACUCACUUGAAAAGUGGAUUAGCGACUUGAAAAUGGUUUAGCGUAGUUCUUGAAAGGUGAACUUGUGUUUAGAAACUUGUAAAGUGUAAUCACUUGAAAAUUUGAUUUCAUGACUUGAAAUUGAUUUAGUGUUUAUGUUUGAAAUAUGAAUUCAUGACUUGAAAAUGGUUAAGUUUAGUCAUUUGAGAAGUGAAUUAGAGAGUUCAAAAUGGUUAAGUUUAUUGUUUUGAAAUGUGUACUUGUCACUUGAAAAGUGGAUUAGAGACUUGAAAAUGUUGUAAUGUAGUUCUUGAAAGGUGAACUUGUGUUUUGAAAUUUGUAAAGUGUAAUCACUUUAAAAUGUGAUUUCAUGACUUGAAAUUGGUUUAGUGUUGAUACUUGAAAUGUGAAUUCAUGACUUGAAAAUGGUUAAGUUUAUUCAUUUGAUAAGUGAAUUAGAGAGUUGAAAAUUGUUAGGUGUAGUGUUUUGAAAUGUGUACUAGUCACUUGAAAAGUGGAUUAGCGACUUGAAAAUGGUUUCGCGUAGUUCUUGAAAGGUGAACUUGUGUUUUGUAAUUUGUAAAGUGUAAUCACUUGAAAAUAUGAAUUCAUGACUUGAAAUUGGUUUAGUGUUGAUACUUGAAAUGUGAAUUCAUGACUUGAAAAUGGUUAAGUUUAUUCAUUUGAUAAGUGAAUUAGAGAGUUGAAAAUGGUUAAGUGUAGUAUUUUUAAAUGUGUAUUAGUCACUUAAAAAGUGGAUUAGAGACUUGAAACUGGUUUAAUAAGUAGUUCUUGAAAGGUGAACUUGUCUUUUGAAAUUGUAAAGUGUAAUCACUUGAAAAUGUGAAUUCAUGAGUUUAAAUUGGUUUAGCGUUGUAACUUGAACUGUCAACUCAUGACUUGAAAAUGGUUUGCCUUGUCACUUGAAAUUAAUGCAGAUUUGAUUGGUCUAGUUCCUGGAUAUACGGACAUACUUGGUAGUGUGUUCAUCGAGCCUGAUGGAUCUUCGUAAGUUUAUUUUUCAAUUGAUAGGUUUAUUUUUUUUAUUAAUAAAAUAUUCAAGCUUACAUACUUAUUAUGUUAUUUACAGGUGGUAUCCCGUGUCAAAAGAA